CAGGCUUAACACAUGCAAGUCGAGGGGCAGCAUUUUAGUUUGCUUGCAAACUAAAGAUGGCGACCGGCGCACGGGUGAGUAACACGUAUCCAACCUGCCGAUAACUCGGGGAUAGCCUUUCGAAAGAAAGAUUAAUAUCCGAUGGUAUAUUAAAACCGCAUGGUUUUACUAUUAAAGAAUUUCGGUUAUCGAUGGGGAUGCGUUCCAUUAGUUUGUUGGCGGGGUAACGGCCCACCAAGACUACGAUGGAUAGGGGUUCUGAGAGGAAGGUCCCCCACAUUGGAACUGAGACACGGUCCAAACUCCUACGGGAGGCAGCAGUGAGGAAUAUUGGUCAAUGGACGAGAGUCUGAACCAGCCAAGUAGCGUGAAGGGUGACUGCCCUAUGGGUUGUAAACUUCUUUUAUAUGGGAAUAAAGUAUUCCACGUGUGGGAUUUUGUAUGUACCAUAUGAAUAAGGAUCGGCUAACUCCGUGCCAGCAGCCGCGGUAAUACGGAGGAUCCGAGCGUUAUCCGGAUUUAUUGGGUUUAAAGGGAGCGUAGGUGGAUUGUUAAGUCAGUUGUGAAAGUUUGCGGCUCAACCGUAAAAUUGCAGUUGAAACUGGCAGUCUUGAGUACAGUAGAGGUGGGCGGAAUUCGUGGUGUAGCGGUGAAAUGCUUAGAUAUCACGAAGAA
rnacentral:rRNA from 1 species